UCGGAUAUGGUGUACGGUACACCGCCUCUCUUCUUGAGGGCGUCGAAAAAAUGUCAUCUGAGGCAGUCCGGGGUUCGACUCCCCGUGUCCGAA